rnacentral:misc_RNA from 1 species
UUAGUUGAGUUGAGUUGAGUUAUACUAAACAUAACAAUCAGGUAUACAAUUCACCAAUGAAAGUCAAAGAUAAGCUAAUAAAGCUCACCAAAGAAAUGACAAAAGAACGCACAGCCAAUCUAUCAAUCAAUUUUUUCAUAAGUUUUCAGUGUGCAUAAACACAUUAAGUAAACUGGUCAUGACUCAUAAGUCAUAAGUAAAAGUCUCCUGCUGUGUGAAAACUUCUGUAUUGCUUAGAUACCAGUACACAUCUUAAACUGAUUUAUGUUAACUAUGUUAGAAACCAACUUCUCAUUAUCCACCAAAAGAAUAGCCAUAACAAAUUCGAUGCUGAUAUGAAUUAGAAUUUAAUUGUAAAAAAAAAAAAAACAUUUGCUGCAAUGUACGAAUCAAAGAAGUUCAAUAAUCACAAGAAGAAAAAGGAAAAAGAUCUCAUCAUAGCAUUUAUAAUUCAUAACACUUCAUCAUGCGAGGUCCAAGUGCCUCACUCAGUCUCUCUGAGAAAUUUUAUAAUCAUAGCAGUUAUUGAUGGCCACCUAAUAUUAUAAUUUUUUACCU